rnacentral:rRNA from 1 species
GACGUAGGUGGCGAGCGUUGUUCGGAAUCACUGGGCCUAAAGCGCACGUAGGCGGCUAGGUCAGUCGGAUGUGAAAUACCUCGGCUCAACCGAGGAACUGCGUCCGAUACUGCCUGGCUUGAGGUCCGGAGGGGAGAGUGGAAUUCCCAGUGUAGCGGUGAAAUGCGUAGAGAUGUGGAGGAACACCAGUGGCGAAGGCGACUCUUUGGCCUGUAACUGACGCUGAGGCGCGAAAGCGUGGGGAGCAAACAGG